rnacentral:rRNA from 1 species
GACGUAGGGCGCGAGCGUUGUCCGGAUUUAUUGGGCGUAAAGAGCUCGUAGGCGGCUUGUCGCGUCGUCCGUGAAAACCUGCGGCUCAACUGCAGGCUGGCGGUCGAUACGGGCAAGCUGGAGUUCGGUAGGGGAGACUGGAAUUCCUGGUGUAGCGGUGAAAUGCGCAGAUAUCAGGAGGAACACCGGUGGCGAAGGCGGGUCUCUGGGCAGUAACUGACGCUGAGGAGCGAAAGCGUGGGGAGCGAACAGG